GGAGUCGGCCAGGCGACCGCGGCGGGAUGACCCGUCGAGGAAAGUCCGGACUCCGCAGGGCAGGACGCUGGGUAACGCCCAGGCGCGGUGACGCGCGGCACAGUGCAACAGAGAGCAGACCGCCAGGGGCCCGCGCAACAUGGCGCGGGUACCGGUAAGGGUGAAAGGGUGCGGUAAGAGCGCACCGGCACCGGUGGUGACACCGGUGGCCAGGUAAACCCCGUCCGGAGCAAGGCCAAGCAGGUGCGAUGAGGUGGCCCGCCGAGCACCGGGUAGGCCGCACGAGGCCGGCGGCAACGUCGGUCCCAGACAGAUGGUCGCCGCUCCCGGCAUCGCCGGGACGCACAGAAUCCGGCUUACCGGCCGGCUCCCUCC
rnacentral:RNase_P_RNA from 1 species